rnacentral:rRNA from 1 species
CGGUGGAGCGUGUUGUUUAAUUCGAUGGUAAGCGAAGAACCUUACCCAGGUUUGACAUCCUUGGAAUUUCUCCGAAAGGGGAUCCCAAUACAGGUGUGACGAGCGCAACCCUUGUGAUUAGUUGGGGAUGUCAGGUCGUAUUUCCCUUAUAUCUGGGCUACAUACAUGGCCGGUACAAGGGCAGCCAAGUCGCAAGACGGAGCAUCCCAUCAAAGCCGGUCCCAGUUCGGAUAGCAGUGAAACUCGCCUGCUUGAAGUCGGAAUCGCUAGUAACGGAGGUCAGCUAUACUACCGUGAAUACGUUCCCGGGUCUUGUACACACCGCCGUCAAGGCAUGAAAGUCGCCAAUACCUGACGUAUCAGCUCUCUGGUCCUAGGUAGGGGUGAUGAUUGGGCCUAAGUCGUACAAGGU